CCUUCGAUAGCUCAGUUGGUAGAGCGGAGGACUGUAGCUGACAUCACUGUAGCAAUCCUUAGGUCGCUGGUUCGAUUCCGGCUCGAAGGA
rnacentral:tRNA from 1 species